rnacentral:rRNA from 2 species
UGGGGAAUUUUGCGCAAUGGGCGAAAGCCUGACGCAGUAACGCCGCGUGGAGGACGAAGGCCUUCGGGUCGUAAACUCCUGUCAGGGGGGAAGAAGGACUUGAGGCUGGAAUACAUCUUUGAGUUCUGACGGUACCCCCAAAGGAAGCCCCGGCUAAUUCCGUGCCAGCAGCCGCGGUAAUACGGAAGGGGCUAGCGUUGUUCGGAAUCAUUGGGCGUAAAGGGCGCGUAGGUGGUUUUAUAUGUCCGUCGUGAAAGUUCACGGCUCAACCGUGUUUGGUCGGCGGAAACUGUAAGACUUGAGGCUGGGAGGGGCUGGAGGAAUUCCCUAUGUAGCGGUGAAAUGCGUAGAGAUAGGGGAGAACACUCGUGGCGAAGGCGUCCAGCUGGACCAGUCCUGACACUGAGGCGCGAAAGCGUGGGUAGCAAACAGG